rnacentral:lncRNA from 1 species
ACAUGACUUGAAAAUAAUUUGACUAUAUCAGAAAGUUCCAAACAAACUAUGAGUGGCGACGAAAGAGAGGCUUUCAUUACUAAAAGAUAACUAUUUCUAUAAGCUCAGAGGAGGACUGAGAACCAAAAAGCAAUAGCAAGAGCAGUAUAGAAGAAGGAAAAAUGUCCUAAGACUAAACUUCGGGGAAAACAAUAUCUUCAACUU